rnacentral:tRNA from 1 species
GGCUAGUUGGUCUAGGGGUAUGAUUCUCGCUUCGGGAUGCGAGAGGUCCCGGGUUCAAAUCCCGACGAGCCC